rnacentral:ncRNA from 1 species
UAACCUUGCCUGUGAGGGUAAGCUGAACGUACAGAAGUCAGCAGAGGCCAUAGUACGCAGGCUGUUGCAACGGUCUGCGGAAGGGC